rnacentral:lncRNA from 1 species
AUGCCCCUCCGCAUCGCCUCCCACCGCUCUCCCUUCUUCUGGCAACGACAAAAAACCACGUGGCAGAAAGCCUUUGUAGCUGGUGGUGUCACACCAGAGGCCUCUGACAACUCACAUAAUGGCUCUUCUCAUCUGUGUCCAAGGACCAUGUUCAUACCCUCCUUCCUCCAGACCCAAGCAGCUCAGAAGACCCCAAAGCCACUUUGUGGUCCUCCCUCUUGCAUUUUCUGCUGCUCAGGACCAGAACUGAGAAGUCUCCAAGAGCGCAGGCAGCGCAGGCUGAGGGGUAUUUGUGUGCCUCCUCUCCACACCACCCCACCAACGAAGGCUUUUUGGAUGCUGGUCACAUCUCAUCAACGUGGAUCACCCUUAACACAGCGUCAUGAGGAGGAUGCGUGACUCAUGUUCUUGGGGCAUUUGGGGAAUCCAAAAGCUUCAAAAAGUGAAAUAAUCCUUCCUCUCACAGCGAGGUUUCCCCCAUCUUCUCUGGAACAAUCUCCCUGCUUUGCAGUCUUUGCUUCUUUGGAAAGUCUGUUUGUAUUUAGGAGGAAAAAGGAGCUGAGAUCUUCAUAUGUCUUACUACAGUCAGUGUCCUAGGGCAGCAGCGCUUAUGCAAGAUCACUUUGGCCUUCUUUGAUGAUCUGUAAAUAGCACAAUGCAGGAUACACAGUCAGAGAGGUUUCUGGAGUGGGGGGAAGUGGGUUUUUCUAGUGGUUUCGGGUUUUUUGAAGGUUAUUGUUCUUUUUGCUUAAUGCAUCUGGAGUUUGGUUUUCUACUAUGUAUGAAAAGAUAUUUUAUUUAUUUCACUUGUUUGGAUUAUUUUCCAUCCAACUAGCAUAGAAAGAAAGUGCAAUUUACUAUAUAAUAGAAGUGAGAGAAUUGCAACAACAAAACAUGAGCUUUCUCUCUGGCGACAGUGAAGGGCUUUCCAAAAAUGGUGGACUAAAAGAAAAUGGCUCUGACAGCGUGCUCCUGUUAGCAUCUGAGAUUAUCAAAACAGAAGUGAAUUAAAUAAUUUAAUAUAUUAUUGUCAUCACUGAUUAUGUUAAUCUAAUUUAUAAAUACAUCUUUUGCUCUGGACCAGACACAGACCUGAUGAUGCCUGGACCAAUUCCGUGAGGUCAUGGUUAGUUGAACAAGAUGAGGAUCAGACUACUAUAUAGAUAGUUAAUAUAUACUGGCUGGUAUAAUUCUUCCUGUCCUCUUCUUCCUUUCCCUCACCCCCAAGUCAUUUUCAAUUUCAGGUUGCCAUGAGUCAGCCGACUGCUGAAGUGUUGCACAGCAGACCAUUAAAGGAAAGGCUUUCAACCAAAAACUCCUUAGUUUUAUUUUAUUUAUGAAAUUAUGUGGUGUUUCUCAACUCUCUUCUGCAGGAAGGGGAGUAAACAAUCUCUAAAAUUCUUUAAGAAUGCUAAAAUAAACAAUUCUUGGCAUGACUCA